rnacentral:rRNA from 1 species
AGAGUUUGAUCCUGGCUCAGGAUGAACGCUGGCGGUAUGCUUAACACAUGCAAGUCGAACGGAACUCUUCGGAGUUCAGUGGCGGACGGGUGAGUAACGCGUGAGAAUCUGGCUUCAGGUUCGGGACAACCAUUGGAAACGAUGGCUAAUACCGGAUGUGCCGCAGGGUAAAAGAUUAAUUGCCUGAAGAUGAGCUCGCGUCUGAUUAGCUAGUUGGUGGGGUAAGAGCCUACCAAGGCGACGAUCAGUAACUGGUCUGAGAGGAUGACCAGUCACACUGGGACUGAGACCCGGCCCAGACUCCUACGGGAGGCAGCAGUGGGGAAUUUUCCGCAAUGGGCGAAAGCCUGACGGAGCAAUACCGCGUGAGGGAGGAAGGCUCUAGGGUUGUAAACCUCUUUUCUCAGGGAAGAAUAAAAUGACGGUACCUGAGGAAUAAGCAUCGGCUAACUCCGUGCCAGCAGCCGCGGUAAUACGGAGGAUGCAAGCGUUAUCCGGAUUUAUUGGGCGUAAAGCGUCCGCAGGUGGCAGUUCAAGUCUGCUGUCAAAGGUCGGGGCUCAACCCCGAACAGGCAGUGGAAACUGAACAGCUAGAGUACGGUAGGGGCAGAGGGAAUUCCCAGUGUAGCGGUGAAAUGCGUAGAGAUUGGGAAGAAACACCGGUGGCGAAAGCGCUCUGCUAGGCCGAAACUGACACUCAUGGACGAAAGCUAGGGGAGCGAAUGGGAUUAGAUACCCCAGUAGUCCUAGCCGUAAACGAUGGAUACUAGGCGUUGUGAGUAUCGACCCUCACAGUGUCGUAGCUAACGCGUUAAGUAUCCCGCCUGGGGAGUACGCGCGCAAGCGUGAAACUCAAAG